rnacentral:rRNA from 1 species
GAGUUUGAUCAUGGCUCAGAACGUACGCUGGCGGCACGCCUAACGCAUGCAAGUCGAACGAAGUAGCAAUACUUAGUGGCAGACGGGUGAGUAACAUGUAGGUAUCUGCCCUUUGGCCUGGAAUAACACGAGGAAACUUGUGCUAAUACCGGAUAAGUCUUUACGGAGAAAGCUUUAUGCACCAUUGGAUGAGCCUGCACUUGAUUAGUUUGUUGGUGGGGUAAUGGCCUACCAAGACUGUGAUCAAUAGCAGAUUUGAGAGGAUGAUCAGCCACAUUGGGACUGAGACACGGCCCAAACUCCUACGGGAGGCAGCAGUGGGGAAUCUUGCACAAUGGAGGAAACUCUGAUGCAGCGAUGCCGCGUGAGUGAAGAAGGCCCUUGGGUUGUAAAGCUCUUUCGUCGGGGAAGAAAAUGACUGUACCCGAAUAAGAAGGUCCGGCUAACUUCGUGCCAGCAGCCGCGGUAAUACGAAGGGACCUAGCGUAGUUCGGAAUUACUGGGCUUAAAGAGUUCGUAGGUGGUUGAAAAAGUUAGUGGUGAAAUCCCAGAGCUUAACUCUGGAACUGCCAUUAAAACUUUUCAGCUAGAGUAUGAUAGAGGAAAGCAGAAUUUCUAGUGUAGAGGUGAAAUUCGUAGAUAUUAGAAAGAAUACCAAUUGCGAAAGGCAGCUUUCUGGAUCAUUACUGACACUGAGGAACGAAAGCAUGGGUAGCGAAGAGGAUUAGAUACCCUCGUAGUCCAUGCCGUAAACGAUGUGUGUUAGACGUUGGAAAUUUAUUUUCAGUGUCGC